UAGGCGACCUCAGCUCAGGCGGGGCUACCCGCUGAGUUUAAGCAUAUCAAUAAGCGGAGGA
rnacentral:rRNA from 1 species